rnacentral:rRNA from 1 species
AUGAACGCUGGCGGCGUGCCUAAUACAUGCAAGUCGAGCGAACGGACGAGAAGCUUGCUUUUCUGAUGUUAGCGGCGGACGGGUGAGUAACACGUGGAUAACCUACCUAUAAGACUGGGAUAACUUCGGGAAACCGGAGCUAAUACCGGAUAAUAUUUUGAACCGCAUGGUUUAAAAGUGAAAGACGGUCUUGCUGUCACUUAUAGAUGGAUCCGCGCUGCAUUAGCUAGUUGGUAAGGUAACGGCUUACCAAGGCAACGAUGCAUAGCCGACCUGAGAGGGUGAUCGGCCACACUGGAACUGAGACACGGUCCAGACUCCUACGGGAGGCAGCAGUAGGGAAUCUUCCGCAAUGGGCGAAAGCCUGACGGAGCAACGCCGCGUGAGUGAUGAAGGUCUUCGGAUCGUAAAACUCUGUUAUUAGGGAAGAACAUAUGUGUAAGUAACUGUGCACAUCUUGACGGUACCUAAUCAGAAAGCCACGGCUAACUACGU